AUUGAACGCUGGCGGCAGGCCUAACACAUGCGAGUCGAGCGGUAACACAGGGAGCUUGCUCCCGGGUGACGAGCGGCGGACGGGUGAGUAAUGUCUGGGAAACUGCCUGAUGGAGGGGGAUAACUACUGGAAACGGUAGCUAAUACCGCAUAACGUCGCAAGACCAAAGAGGGGGACCUUCGGGCCUCUUGCCAUCAGAUGUGCCCAGAUGGGAUUAGCUAGUAGGUGGGGUAACGGCUCACCUAGGCGACGAUCCCUAGCUGGUCUGAGAGGAUGACCAGCCACACUGUAACUGAGACACGGUCCAGAAUCGUACGGGAGGCAGCAAUGGGGAAUAUUGCACAAUGGGCGCAAGCCUGAUGCAGCCAUGCCGCGUGUAUGAAGAAGGCCUUCGGGUUGUAAAGUACUUUCAGCGGGGAGGAAGGUGCUGGGGUUAAUAACCUCAGCAAUUGACGUUACCCGCAGAAGAAGCACCGGCUAACUCCGUGCCAGCCGCCGCGGUAACAC
rnacentral:rRNA from 1 species